UUGCUGUAAAAAAAAAAAAAAAAAGGCUAUUGGAUUGCUACACAAGGUAUGUUAAGAUUGCUGUAUCCGCUAUCGAAAGUAAAUUUCGUCGAUGAUAUUUUCGACAUUUCAUAAUUUUUUCCCCCACUAUUUCAAAUCACCCGUUUCCUCAUGGUUAUUACCUCAAAUGAUCUGAAAGCUCAAGUGAGCUAUUCUGAUGACCUUUUGUUCGGUGUCAGUCUGUCCGCCCGUCCGUAAACUUAUAACAUUUUCGAUUUUUCCAGAACCACAGGGCUGAUUUCAACUACAAAGCAUGUAUGGGUAAAGAGAAUUAGAGUUUGUUUAAAUGAAGUGUGAAGAUAUGAACAAUUAGUAAAUAUUUUAUGGCGUCAUUUAAUAAUCUUCUUCAGUACCACUGAGCCAUUUUCAAUCAAACGUAGCACAUACCAUCCUUGGGUGAAGGGAAUUCAAGAUUCUUUAAAUGAAUGGGCACGCUCCCUCCAAAAGGGUGAAAUAAUCAAGAAAAGGCAAGAAUAGGGUGUUCAUGUAAAUACCACAAUGCCAGAAAAGUUGAAAUUUAUAUGAAUUCUUCCUGAUUCAUUUUUGUUAAAAUCACGGCCUUGGGAGUAGAGUGGAGUCAAAGUUUUCCAUGGGAAUAUAUAGGAAAAAAAUUCUUCUCCAUAACAACAAGGUCAUGAAUACUCAUAUUAAUAUACAAGCACCACCAGGUAAUGCAAAUUUAAGUGCAUGUAUGUUCAAAGCACGACCAGGGGGGCAGGGGCAGGAUGGAGCUACAAUAAGGGAUCACAGUUUUAUAUGGAAAUAUAUAAGGGUACAUCUUUGAAAAUUUUCUUCCAGUUGUGCAAAUUCAAGUUUGUUUAAUUCAGGGACCAUAGAGGUAGGUUGAAGCUAAAUCAUAUCAAAAUGCUAUUUUUCUAAAUUCUGUGAAUUCAGGUUUUCAUGAUGCCCCCUUGUAACUUAAGACUGUGUGAAGACAUACUGUUUUGGUACUUGAACCUGGUUUGUAACUUUUGAAUGACUAGUGAUAACGUUCUUAUAUUUCAUAUCUGUAUUUCUUCUGACAAGACCUUUCUUUUGGUACCAAAGCCUUUGACCUUGUGACCUUGACCUUUGAGUUUGACCUAAUUCUAAGAAAAUCUAAGAUAGGCAAUAUCACCUUGAACUAUUCAAGAUAGUGCCUUCAUAUAGUAUGCUCUCAUAGUUCCUGCCCUCUGGGUUUUCUUCUUUAUUAGUGAAAUAAAGUAGGUACGGGCAGUUUCUAUACAUUCAAUAUCAUGGGAGUCCUCAUUGGAGCGAAAAAAUUAGUGACUGUUUUUAUUUUGGGAUUUUCAUAACUAGACGGUAACGAAUGCUAGAUUAAUAGUGAAAGAGAGUUGGUAUAAGGUUGCAUCACUCUAUAUAUCUGAAGGUACACGUCGAAAUAAAAUAAUUCCAGGAACUCUCCUUGUAUUAUGGGACUUUACUUAAGAGGCAGGCUCUCAAUUUUUGUGAGGUUUAAUUAAAGUAUAAAGUUUGAUAUUUUGUGAGUAAAAGACACCAAAGAAGGAUAUGAAUAUUUUUUAAAUUUUUAUUGUAGAUGUUGUUGAAUUGGCUUUUGACCAGCUGAUUUAUCACGUGUUUGUCUUUAAGGCAAACAAACUCUCAUGUCUCGCUGGAUGGUUACCGUGCCAGACGAGUACCUUCAAGACUUUACGAACCGAGAGCAGCACAGUCGAGGGAAGUAGAUUUUCUGGGUCGCUGGUUCAUCCGGUGUAUUGAAGAGAAGAUUUGAAAAUCAAAGUUCCGAGAACAGAGAUGGUGUAUAUUGCCUGGGUUGCUGGCUUAAAAGGAUUUCUGUCUCGAGACCAGUAUAUUACCACCUGUCACCUUCUACAGGUAUUGGUGUCUCCCGUGGGAACCCACAGUUCUUGAUGAGGUCUUUGAGUCGAUGUGCACGAGUUGGCUUUUGACAAGCUGAUUUAGGACGUACCUGACAUCAAUGUAAACAAUAGAUGACGCCUUUCUGGAAACCUCGUAAACUCAGCACAAAUGCCAUCCACUACAAAAACCAUGGAUUACAGCAAAAAGUUUUCAAUGGAGCAAACAAAAUUAAGACUUGCUUGCUUAGAAACAUAAAAUCUUUUUAUAGGAGAUUCAUGGAGAUUCCGAAUGUAGUCAUAUACAUAGAUAUUAGAAAUACAGUAAAACACGGUUACAAUGAACAUUUUUAUAAUGAAUUCACGUUUACAGUGAAGUGAUUUUCAUUCUCUAUUAUUUUAAGACAAAUUAUGAACUUAUUGGAUAAAAAAUAUAUUUUACGAUGGAUCAAAAUUGUUCGUCUCAAGCGUGUUUUACCGUAGAAGCUUUGAAACAAUGUCCAGCAGGUUAAAGAUUUAUAUCAACUUUUACUCUCAAUCAAUUUUCUUUCUAUCUGCAAUAAACAGGGACAAGAUUGCCUUUGACUUUUGAGAUUGAAGAUGAUGGACUAUAGUUAGUUGUAAGUUUAAGCUUUAGGACAAAUUAUUUCAUCAGUAUGACUAUUAAUUAUAUUUCUAUCCUCAUAAACACAUUCUAACCACUCUCUGAGACUUUCGAAUCAUACUUUAUGUAACAUCUAAUCUAGGAGAGUGGACUUUGAUGAAUCCUAUCAACUUAGAAAAGUCACCAUCAGUGGGUCUACUAUUGUUAGGGGCAAUCAUGUUUCACAUAGUCUACAUGUAUCAUAACUUGAUUUUAUAUUUAUAUCAAUUGCCUUUUACACUAGAUUUUUUGUUUCAAAAUUUCUGUAUUCAUUUUUUAAAAUUAACUUGUGUAUUGAAAUAACUAUUAGCUUGGGAGACCUUUUUUGUCUAAUUUUUAAUGGAAAUUUGAUUAUGUCAAACAUCUUUUCAUUUUUCUUUUUCCUUUUUUCCCCCUAUUGGUUAGAAAAUUCUAUAUUGAUUUGAAAAAUGUUGUAAAUUGUAAUGUACUUCGAAAUCAAAAUAUAAGCUCCAUCAAUGUUA